GAGAGCAAUGGACGGGAAGGAAACUCAGUUCCUUGGGAUCUUGUGCAUCAGGGUACACAGAGAAAACUGGCUGGAGAAGAGAAAGUCUGGCCCCUCUUCCUGUCAACAAUGACAUUCUGUUGGGAGCUGACCCUUCCAGGAUGAAUCUCAUUAGAACUUGGGAACAGGACUGCAGAGCCAUCAUCCGCAAUUUCUGAGAAACUUGGGCAAGAAGCCCAAUAUCCAGGAUGUGUGAAAUGUUUGUCAGCUUUCAAAAAGCAAGAAUGUGCAAAUGGAGUAAGUCUAAUGACCUCAGACUUCCAAACUUGAAAUUAAUUAAUGCUAUGAAUCUGGAUUAGAUUUUCAACAGUGCCUAGAAAGUGGAAUUUAAAAAAUUUUCUGCCUCACUACACUUCCAUUUGAAACUUGCCAGCAAGCAAGAUGAAGACAGCCUGUCUUCUUGGAGAACAAUUGAGUAACCUGUCUUCUUCAGCCCCAGGAACAUGGGUAACUGCACCACUACCCCAAGGGUGAAACUUGGCAUUUCCUCCUAAUGUGUAGCUUGAUGGAAGCUGCUCUUUGUAUUUCUUGGUGUGAAGGGCUGAUUGCUGGAAGCAACUGAGCACAAUUGCACAGAGGUAAGGAGCCUUCUGGUGGAGAAGAAUCAGAACGAAUUUUCAUGUAGCAUGAGUAUCAUCACA